rnacentral:tRNA from 1 species
UCUCCGGUAGUUCAGUCGGUAGACCGUGGACUGUUAAUCCAUAUGUCGCUGGUUCGAGUCCAGCUCGGGGAGCCA